rnacentral:rRNA from 1 species
UACGAAGGGGGCUAGCGUUGCUCGGAAUUACUGGGCGUAAAGGGCGCGUAGGCGGACAGUUACGUCAGAGGUGAAAGCCCAGGGCUCAACCCUGGAAUUGCCUUUGAUACUGGCUGUCUUGAGUGCGGGAGAGGUGUGUGGAACUCCGAGUGUAGAGGUGAAAUUCGUAGAUAUUCGGAAGAACACCAGUGGCGAAGGCGACACACUGGCCCGUAACUGACGCUGAGGCGCGAAAGCGUGGGGAGCAAACAGG